AUUCCUCCUAGGAAUACAAAGACCUAUCAUCUAAGGCAAAAGCAAUUAUAAUGAAGCAUUCCAACUUUAGCAUGUGCAGAGACCUCCCUCCAUGACAACCAAGGACCAUUGAAAAAUUGGCGCAUGAUGGCAACAGUUUUGUGACUGACCUCAUAAUCAAGAAACCUGCAAUUUAAAAAAUAUUCAUUAGAAAAUAAACUAAAUACUUUAAAUGCAACAAACAUAUAAAUUCAAGUUAGUGAUGGUAAAUUCAAGACAUGGAAAGUGAUCAUGCUAUUAUAUUCUCUUCGUCAUUCUUAUUAAGGCGUUAUUUUCAUUUCUACCACAAUCAGAAUUGGACAUUUUGUUUUAUUUAGAAACUCCAACCAGUAACCAAACCACAAAAAUAGAAAAGUUGAUUGAUAUUGGGUCUUUAUAAAUUUAAUGAUGAGCCAAUUAGAUGUGAAAGAUGGGUGGCAGAAACAGAUUAUUGUAUGGAGGGUUUUAGCUCCAAGUUUCAGGAAUUAAACUAGUUCAAAUAUGAUAUUCAAAUACCACCUAAGGUAUGAUAGUUGUAAGUACAAGAUGAACCUGUCACACUAUGAACCUCCACUUGAG
rnacentral:lncRNA from 1 species